GGUGGGCGUGGUGGUGCAUGCCUGCGAUCCCAGCUCCUCAGGAGGCUGAGGCAGGAGAAUCAAAAAUUCGAGGUCAGCCCCAGCAAUUGAGACCCUGUCUCAA
rnacentral:sRNA from 1 species